AAACUAACAUUCAUUGACUGUAUGCUGUACACCUAGAGGCAUGAACUGCACCUUGUUUUCCUCUAGUCAAAAGUAUUUGGACUCCAAAUAUAAAUUUUGAAAGGGAAAGGAAUCUGUACCUGUAAUCAUCUCCUCACAUCUCAGUGUGAAAAAUAAUUUGGAGAAAAAAACAAAAGUUGAAGGCAUACAGAUUACGUAUUGAGGAACCAUAUUCAUUCAGAUAAAGCCACAGACACGAAUUCUCAUGGAAGCCUGUCAAACAUAAACAGAAAGACUCUGGAAUUAUAACAUGGAAAUAAUGAAUUUCUGACUGCAAUUGGUGUCCAAAAAGCUAAGAACCAAGUUUCCCUUAAGUAAUUAGCUCCAUAUUCAAAAGAAUUAAAGUGUAUGUACCAGGUACGAUUAUAGGUA